rnacentral:rRNA from 1 species
GACGAACGCUGGCGGCGUGCUUAACACAUGCAAGUCGAGCGGUAAGGCCCUUUCGGGGGUACACGAGCGGCGAACGGGUGAGUAACACGUGGGUGACCUGCCCUCAGCUCUGGGAUAAGCCCGGGAAACUGGGUCUAAUACUGGAUAUGACUCCAUGACGCAUGUUGUGGGGUGGAAAGCCUUGUGCGGCUGAGGAUGGGCCCGCGGCCUAUCAGCUUGUUGGGGGUGAUGGCCUACCAAGGCGACGACGGGUAGCCGGCCUGAGAGGGCGACCGGCCACACUGGGACUGAGACACGGCCAGACUCCUACGGGAGGCAGCAGGUGGGGAAUCUUGCGCAAGUGGGCGAAAGCCUGACGCAGCGACGCCGCGUGA